GUUUGAUCCUGGCUCAGAUUGAACGCUAGCGGGAUGCCUUACACAUGCAAGUCGAACGGCAGCACGGACUUCGGUCUGGUGGCGAGUGGCGAACGGGUGAGUAAUGUAUCGGAACGUGCCCAGUAGCGGGGGAUAACUACGCGAAAGCGUAGCUAAUACCGCAUACGCCCUACGGGGGAAAGCAGGGGAUCGCAAGACCUUGCACUAUUGGAGCGGCCGAUAUCGGAUUAGCUAGUUGGUGGGGUAACGGCUCACCAAGGCGACGAUCCGUAGCUGGUUUGAGAGGACGACCAGCCACACUGGGACUGAGACACGGCCCAGACUCCUACGGGAGGCAGCAGUGGGGAAUUUUGGACAAUGGGGGAAACCCUGAUCCAGCCAUCCCGCGUGUGCGAUGAAGGCCUUCGGGUUGUAAAGCACUUUUGGCAGGAAAGAAACGUCGCGGGUUAAUACCCCGCGGAACUGACGGUACCUGCAGAAUAAGCACCGGCUAACUACGUGCCAGCA
rnacentral:rRNA from 1 species